GUCUGUUUUCCUUCGAUGUUUCAUAAUUAUUUCUUGAUUUUAUUCUCGUGUUUCGCAUUCCUAAUUGUAACACUAUUUUUUUUCUCGUUUUUUUCUUGCAGGUAAGCUUUGUGGCAUAGAAAACGGAGAACGUGGAGAAAGUAAGAGUCGGGACAGUGGCGCAGAAAACGGAGAACGUAAUCCAUCCAGGCCCAGUGAUCAGCGCGGCACACAGUAAGGUCACGUGAUCGGUGGAGGGUGUGACGUCACGCAGGUGAGACAAGCACAGGUGAGUUAACUCCUUCCGCUCCCAGGCGACUCUGCACUCAGGUGGGAAGGUUAAGUGUAUACGCAGGUAUUCGUAAACACAUACAUAUAUACAUACAUACAUACUUAUAUGAAUUACGUGAGCUUGUUACCGCAUAUUAAAGACGUGGUGUAAUUCGUUCGUUCAUUCAUUCUUUCUUUCGUUUUUUUUUUCUUCUUUCCUUCUUUCUGUUUGUCUAUCUGUCUUCCUUCCUUUUUCCUUUCUUCUUUCUUUCUCUUUCUUCAUUUUUCUUUCGUUUUCUUUCGUUUCUUUCUUUCUUUCUUCUUCCAUUCUUUUCCUUCCCCUUUUUCUUUCUUUCUUUUUCUUUCUUCCAUCCUUCCGUCUUUCGUUCCCUUUCUUUCUUUCUUUCUUUCCUUCUUUCUUUCUUUCUUUCUCUCCUUUCUUUCUUGUUUCCUUUAUAUUCAAACUGAGGAAGUUUUGAAAUUCAUACGAAAGUUUACUAUUCUGAGCUUCAUUUCUUGUUCUACCAGUAUUGCACAACCACCACCACCACCACCACCACCACCACCACCAUCGUAACCCCGCUGCAUAACAAAGACCUGCCUAACCUUUUGCACUCAUCUCCUCCUUGUCUGCUCGUCCCUGGCUCUCUUAGCAAAACUCGUCUCUUCAUCUAGGUUAAGAGGGCAUCUGAUGGAGGUCUUUAAGUGGUAUAGGGGAUAUAACAAGGGUGACAUAAGAAAAAAGGGCCGUGUUUAUAAACAUUACCGCGCCCGCAUCUCCACUACAUUCUAAAGGCUCUGCUUGAAGGGACACAGAGUUUUUAAGGGUGUUUCUAUGGUUUUAGUGAUAGAUUAACAAGAUUUCUGCAUUAUUAAAAGAAGAAACAGUCUUGAGAACUCGGCUAAUCUGCAAUCUUUGAAAAUACUCGUGGUGUGAGAGCAAAGCGUUUCAGGGUCAUAAUCGGGAUGUGACAAGAAAUAAUAGGUUCAAGCUUGAUAAAGUUAGAUUUUAAAAAGAGGCGAAGGAAUUGGUUCACAAAUAGAGUGGCAGAUGAAUGGAACAGACUAAGUAAUCACGUUGUUGGUUGGAGUCAUUACGGAGCUUUAACAGGGGGAUCAGAUGAGGAUAAUAGGUGGAAAUAGUUAGGAAUGCUUUAUAAAGGAACUGCCACCCGUAUACUUAAUGGCUUCUUGUAAUUUCCCUUAUAUUCUUAGGUCUUAUAUUUCAUUCUCUUUCCAUCCCUUGCCUUCCUAUACAAACCAGGUGUUAUGCAAGGCACUCUCAGCCCCGCCACUCACACAUACCACACCGUUUACCUGUAUCACUCCAUAACACCAUACAUCACUCUCCCAGCAUACCACCUUGACAUUAUAAACACACGUAUAUAUAAUCAUGCCAUAACAUAGGGAGUGACUGAUCGGUAGGGGAAAAAUGCGUGUAAAGAUUCUCUCUCUCUCUCUCUCUCUCUCUCUCUCUCUCUCUCUCUCUCUCUCUCUCUCUCUCUCUCUCUCUCUCUCUCUCUCUCUCUCUCUCUCUCGUGCACAUUUAAGGGUUAGAAGGUCAAGAAUCAAGCUCUUAUUUAUGACUGACAUGCUUCUCGUCUUCCUCCUCCUCCUCUUCCUCCUCCUCCUCCUCUUCUUCUUCCUCCUCUUCCUCCUCCUUUGUUGUUUUUCCUCCUUAUCUGCUGUUUAUUUCUUCUUUUAAGUUCUAUCCCCUUCUCUUCCAUUCUCUUCUUUCCUCCAUUUUUUCUCUUUUUCCUCCAUUUAUCCAUCGCUCGUUUCCUCUCUCCCUCUCCCUCUCUCCCCCUCUCCCUCUCUCCCUCUCUUUACGAACUGAAAAGAAUACUCGAACAGGGAACUUUGAGUGGAGGGAGAGGAUGCCAGGAGAGUCUAGUUACCUCUCUCUCUCUCUCUCUCUCUCUCUCUCUCUCUCUCUCUCUCUCUCUCUCUCUCUCUCUCUCUCUCUCUCUCUCUCUCUCUCUCUCGAUAGCGCUUUUUUUCCUCUGUGAUCUUAAUUUCUUUCCCUUCCUCCGUAGAUAAACACCCGUAGACCUCCUCCUCCUCCUUCUCCUCCUCCUCCUCCUCCUCCUCCUCCUCCUCCUCCUCCUCCUCCUCCUCCUGGGAUUAAUUAUGAAGUCUGGAGUACCAAGCUGAUGUCUACCUUACCUCACCCAACCUUAAAGAGUUCAAGAGUCUGUCAGAGGUUCAAGAAGAGGCUGACAUGUAUCACUAGUAAAUUACCCAUCAUCGA